GAAAGGCGCGCGAUACAGGGUGACAGCCCCGUACACAAAAAUGCACAUGCUGUGAGCUCGAUGAGUAGGGCGGGACACGUGGUAUCCUGUCUGAAUAUGGGGGGACCAUCCUCCAAGGCUAAAUACUCCUGACUGACCGAUAGUGAACCAGUACCGUGAGGGAAAGGCGAAAAGAACCCCGGCGAGGGGAGUGAAAAAGAACCUGAAACCGUGUACGUACAAGCAGUGGGAGCACGCUUAGGCGUGUGACUGCGUACCUUUUGUAUAAUGGGUCAGCGACUUAUAUUCUGUAGCAAGGUUAACCGAAUAGGGGAGCCGAAGGGAAACCGAGUCUUAACUGGGCGUUAAGUUGCAGGGUAUAGACCCGAAACCCGGUGAUCUAGCCAUGGGCAGGUUGAAGGUUGGGUAACACUAACUGGAGGACCGAACCGACUAAUGUUGAAAAAUUAGCGGAUGACUUGUGGCUGGGGGUGAAAGGCCAAUCAAACCGGGAGAUAGCUGGUUCUCCCCGAAAGCUAUUUAGGUAGCGCCUCGUGAAUUCAUCUCCGGGGGUAGAGCACUGUUUCGGCAAGGGGGUCAUCCCGACUUACCAACCCGAUGCAAACUGCGAAUACCGGAGAAUGUUAUC
rnacentral:rRNA from 1 species